rnacentral:rRNA from 1 species
UACGGGGGGGGCAAGCGUUGUUCGGAAUUACUGGGCGUAAAGGGCUCGUAGGCGGCCAACUAAGUCGGAUGUGAAAUCCCCAGGCUUAACCUGGGAACUGCAUCCGAUACUGGAUGGCUUGAAUCCGGGAGAGGGAUGCGGAAUUCCAGGUGUAGCGGUGAAAUGCGUAGAUAUCUGGAGGAAUACCAAAGGCGAAGGCAGUGUCCUGGAGGGUGACUGACGCUGAGGCGCGAAAGCUAGGGGAGCGAACAGG